rnacentral:rRNA from 1 species
UGCGAAGGUGGCCUGUGAGGGUUGCUGGAGGUAUCAGAAGUGCGAAUGCUGACAUAAGUAACGAUAAAGCGGGUGAAAAGCCCGCUCGCCGGAAGACCAAGGGUUCCUGUCCAACGUUAAUCGGGGCAGGGUGAGUCGACCCCUAAGGCGAGGCCGAAAGGCGUAGUCGAUGGGAAACGGGUUAAUAUUCCCGUACUUGGUGUUACUGCGAAGGGGGGACGGAGAAGGCUAUGUUGGCCGGGCGACGGUUGUCCCGGUUUAAGCGUGUAGGUGUGUGUUCCAGGUAAAUCCGGUUCACUUUAACACUGAGGCGUGACGACGAGGCACUACGGUGCUGAAGCAACAAAUGCCCUGCUUCCAGGAAAAGCCUCUAAGCAUCAGGUAACAUCAAAUCGUACCCCAAACCGACACAGGUGGUCAGGUAGAGAAUACCAAGGCGCUUGAGAGAACUCGGGUGAAGGAACUAGGCAAAAUGGUGCCGUAACUUCGGGAGAAGGCACGCUGACAC